GGCGGCGUAGCCAAGCGGUUAAGGCGGGGGUCUGCAAAACCCCUAUUCAGCGGUUCGACUCCGCUCGCCGCCU
rnacentral:tRNA from 1 species